rnacentral:lncRNA from 9 species
GAUUAAUGCCAUGGCUAAGGGUACAACAAAGGCUGGUGAUUAGCAAGCAUUGUCACUGUGCUUUAGUUUUUAUUUUUAUCGCCAGAGGCAGUUAUUCACAUAAGUAAAUAUUUUUGCCUAAUUAUAGAGAGUAAUGCACAAAAGUAUACUCAUAUUUUCUCAAAUAUGUCUGAAAUUCACUAAUCUAGCCGCACUCACCAAACAUUUGUUAUCACCUCUAAUCACAGUGAAAGCCUUACAGACACAGCUAAUUGGCCUAAAGAAUAGAAAGGCAAGUGGAACCAUGAUUUGUAAACAUGUUAACUCUCUUUUCUUGCUGUGGCUAUUACGUGGCCUUUAGCUUUCUCUGAAGCUGGGAGAUGCCUCAAAGAUAAUCUAGUCCAACUUUCAAGCCAAUAUGUAACCAAUUCUGUUCCAUCAGAAGAACGGUUAUCUGGCCCCUGAGAACUGCCAGGGACAGUGUGCUCUCCUUUUUCAGAUAGCUGUGAUCAUAAUAAAGAUAAUCCUUGAUUUGGCAGCAAACCCAUUUCCUCUUCUUCCUGCUAACACAGGGCGACUCCAUUUCUUGGAUUUCCUUCAGUUAGGUACAGCUUGUGACUAAGUUCUAGCCACCCCAGGCAAAGGAAUGCAUCCCACUUGUGGGCCUGGAACAUCCGCUGUGUCUGCUGCCCCUCAUUUGCUAGAUGGACACAGAGGACACAGAGAGGCAUUAAGAGAUGCUAGAGCCCCUUGAAUGAGAUCCCUAAGGCUCAGCUUGGAGACCACAUCAGUAGAUGUAAUCGAAUUAGGCUAGGUGGUAAACUCACAAAUAUUUAUUAUGUUUGAUAAUUUACAUAAAUGUUACAUUUUUUACACAUACCUUGGUUAAUAAUAGUACUUAGUUAAGAAUACACUAUCGUCAUUUCCUACAAUUAAUUUCUUAAAAGAUAAAAACAGGUCAGGUGCCUGGAUGGUAAGAGGAGAUGUUAGAAGCAAGAUAACCACUAGGAAGGUGAUUGAAACAGUCCAGGUGAGAGAGAAUAAGGGCCAGAACCAGAGCAGAGGCCCUGGGAAUGAGAAAAUUGGUGGGUCUGAGAGAUUUUAAUGAGUCAGGACCCAGAAAACAUGUAGAAAAUGUUCACACUUGGUAGUCAGACUUAUUGAGGCCUGUGUUGUAGUUGCUGAAUGACUAAAGAAAUUUAACCAGAGCUGAAUCUAUACUUCUACCAUCCUAGAAAACUGUUCUGAACAGUAAUCCAACCUACUGACUUAGUUGCUGUUAACAACAGACCAAAAUAACACAUCUACUUCCUAACUACUCUCUAAAACACUUCUAUAAUACAUGGAACAAUUUCUACCUCCAAUGCAACAAUGUAAAGCUUACUUUUAAAAUAUCAUAACAGAUAAAUACCUAAAAUAUAAUUAUAGAAACUUUCAUACUUACAUAUUUAUGCUCAAAAUUUAAAACUGACUUGGGGCACAAUCACAGACCACAUCUUUAGAAUUCCAAGUCCAUAAAAAUAACCAGCUUUGUUCUGUGGUAUAACAAAUUCAACAUUUUCUCACAUUACUCCAGUUGUGUUUUGUUGAAUAAUCUCAACCUGGAGUUUUGGCAUCAAAUAAAAAUAAAGCACAUUCUUGGGAAACUUCUUAAAUUAGUUUGAGGACCUACGGAAGAUUGAUAUUAAUGAAAAACCACUGAAUAAUGUUUUUUAAAAUUAUACAUAUGCAUAUAUAUUCUUUUUUCUUUCUUUCCUUCUUUUUUUUUUUUUUUUUUUGGCUGUGACCAUGGAAGAUGGCAGUUCCCAGGCCAGGGAUCAAACCUGAGCCACAGCAGUGACAACACCAAAUCCUUAACUGCUGGGCACCAAGGAACUCCUGAAUAUAUAUUCUUUAUAAGAACACACCUAGAAUCAUGAGGACACAAAAAAGUGAAAUUAACAUUUGACUGGAAAAUCUAUAUUAGACAAUUACUUUCUUAUUAAUUACAUAUACAAUAUUUCUAAAAUGUGACUGCUCCUAUACUGCAGAGCACAUCUUAGCAAAUAUCAAAAGAAUUGAUAUCACAAAACCAUGUUCUCUGACCACAGUAAAAGUAUUUUUUAAUACAUAAAACAUACUUUUGAGUACUUCACAUGUCAAAGAAAAAACAAAGAUUGAAGUUAUAAUUAAAGCUAAAUCAUAACAACAGGAUAGGAACAAUAGGAUAGGAAGAUUCUGAUAAAGCAGAUAAAGCAGUAGUUACAGGAAAAUUCAUAGCCUAAUGUGUGUAUAUUAUAGUGAAAGAUAUUCUAAACAUUAAUAAGAUAAUAGGCAAAUAAAAAUUUAGAAAUAAUGCAAAGGACUAAACACACAUACAGAGGCAUACAGAGGGAAAAAAGAAGAAAGUAUAAUAAAGGAAAGAGCAAAACACCCAGAAUAGCCAACCGAAUAUUGAAAGAGAGGAACAAAGAGACUACCUGAUUUCAAGAGCUAUUAUAAAGCUUGAUUUUAAAGGCAGUAAUUAAGACAGUGUGAUAUUGACAAAAGAAUAGACAAGUAGGGAGUUACCAUUGUGGCUCAUUGGGUUAAGAACAUGGGUAGAUCCAGGAGGAUACAAGUUUGAUCCCUGGCCUCAUUCAGUGGGUCAGGGAUCUGGUAUUGCUACAAGCUGUGGUACAGGCCAGCAGCUGCAGCUCUGACUUGACCCCUAGACUGGGAACUUCCAUAUGCUGCAGGUGUGACCCUAAAAAAAGAAAAAAAAAAGAAUAUGCAAAUAGACAAAUGGAACAAAAUAAGGAGAAAUAGUCCCAUUCAAAUGUAAUCAACUGAUUUCUGAUGAAGGUGCCAAGGCAAUACAAUAAAAAAAAAAAGAUAGUCCUUUCAUCAAAUGAUGCUGGAAUAGCUGGUUAUCCACAUGUUAAAAAGAAAAAAAAAGAACCUAGACACAGAGCCUAUACUAUUUACAAAAAAUCAACUCAAAACAGAACAGAGACCUAAAUGUGAAAUGCAAGUCUCCUAGAAAAUGAAAUAGGAGAAAAUCUAGAUAAUCUUGGAUUUGAUGAUGACUUUUUAGAUACUCCACUAAUAGCAUGAUCUAUGAAAGAAAUAACUGAUAAGCUAGACUUGAUUAAGACUUAACAACUUGGGGAGUUCCCUUCGUGGCACAGUGUCUGAUGAAUCCGACUAGGAACCAUGAGGUUGCAUGUUCGAUCCCUGGCCUCGCUCAGUUGGCUAAGGAUCCAGCAUUGCCGUGAGCUGUGGUGUAGGUCGAAGAUGCGGCUUGGAUCUCGCGUUGCUGUGACUCUGGCGUAGGCUGGCAGCAAUAGCUCCAAUUAGACCCCUAGCCUGGGAACCUCCAUAUGCCGCAGGAGCGGCCCUAGAAAAGGCCAAAAGACCAAAAAAAAAAAAAAAAAAAAAAAAAAGCCUUAAUAACUUGUUACAAAAGACAUGACCAAGGAGUUCCCGUCAUGCUGCAGUGGAAACGAAUCCGACUAGGAACCAUGAGGUUGUGGGUUCAAUCCCUGGCCUUGCUCAGUGGGUUAAGGUUCCUGCGUUGCCAUGAGCUGUGGUGUAGGUUGCAGAUGUGGCUUGGAUCCCAAGUUGCUGUGGCUAUGGCGUAGGCCGGCGGCUACAGCUCUGAUUCGACCCCUAGCCUGGGAACCUCCGUAUGCCUCAGGAGUGGCCCAAGAAAUGGCAAAAAGCCAAAAAAAAAAAAAAAAAAAAAAAAAA